rnacentral:rRNA from 1 species
AAUAGAUCCCUGGUAGUCCACGCCGUAAACGAUGAGUGCUAAGUGUUAGAGGGUUUCCGCCCUUUAGUGCUGCAGCUAACGCAUUAAGCACUCCGCCUGGGGAGUACGGCCGCAAGGCUGAAACUCAAAGGAAUUGACGGGGGCCCGCACAAGCGGUGGAGCAUGUGGUUUAAUUCGAAGCAACGCGAAGAACCUUACCAGGUCUUGACAUCCUCUGACAACCCUAGAGAUAGGGCUUUCCCCUUCGGGGGACAGAGUGACAGGUGGUGCAUGGUUGUCGUCAGCUCGUGUCGUGAGAUGUUGGGUUAAGUCCCGCAACGAGCGCAACCCUUGAUCUUAGUUGCCAGCAUUCAGUUGGGCACUCUAAGGUGACUGCCGGUGACAAACCGGAGGAAGGUGGGGAUGACGUCAAAUCAUCAUGCCCCUUAUGACCUGGGCUACACACGUGCUACAAUGGAUGGUACAAAGGGCUGCAAACCUGCGAGGGUAAGCGAAUCCCAUAAAGCCAUUCUCAGUUCGGAUUGC